rnacentral:rRNA from 1 species
AUUGAACGCUGGCGGCAGGCCUAACACAUGCAAGUCGAGCGGAUGAAGGGAGCUUGCUCCUGGAUUCAGCGGCGGACGGGUGAGUAAUGCCUAGGAAUCUGCCUGGUAGUGGGGGAUAACGUCCGGAAACGGGCGCUAAUACCGCAUACGUCCUGAGGGAGAAAGUGGGGGAUCUUCGGACCUCACGCUAUCAGAUGAGCCUAGGUCGGAUUAGCUAGUUGGUGGGGUAAAGGCCUACCAAGGCGACGAUCCGUAACUGGUCUGAGAGGAUGACCAGUCACACUGGAACUGAGACACGGUCCAGACUCCUACGGGAGGCAGCAGUGGGGAAUAUUGGACAAUGGGCGAAAGCCUGAUCCAGCCAUGCCGCGUGUGUGAAGAAGGUCUUCGGAUUGUAAAGCACUUUAAGUUGGGAGGAAGGGCAGUAAGUUAAUACCUUGCUGUUUUGACGUUACCAACAGAAUAAGCACCGGCUAACUUCGU